rnacentral:rRNA from 1 species
UCCUGGCUUUGACUUUGUGGGUAUCUUAUCUUAUACACACUUGUAUGUCCAUGAAUGUUAUUUUCUUGGGCCAUGUGCCUAUAAAACCUAAUACAACUUUCAACAACGGAUCUCUUGGCUCUCGCAUCGAUGAAGAACGCAGCGAAAUGCGAUAAGUAAUGUGAAUUGCAGAAUUCAGUGAAUCAUCGAAUCUUUGAACGCACCUUGCGCCCCUUGGUAUUCCGAGGGGCAUGCCUGUUUGAGUGUCAUUAAAUUCUCAAAUCUAUAUAGCUUUUUUGUGAUAUAGAUUUGGAUUGUUGGGGGCUGCUGGCUUUUUACCAAGUUGGCUCCUCUUAAAUGCAUUAGCGGGACUUUAUUGCCUCUGCGCACAGUGUGAUAAUUAUCUACGCUGGCCGACAUGCAAUGACUUUACAAGUCCAGCUUUCUAACUGUCUUUCAAGACAAUGACUUGACAAUUUGACCUCAAAUCAGGUAUGACUACCCGCUGAACUUAAGCAUAUCACAAAAGGCAGAA